AAUUUUGCAAUCUUCU
rnacentral:sRNA from 1 species